AGGGUUAGGACCAACUGCAAGUU
rnacentral:piRNA from 1 species